GAGGGUAUAGCUCAUUGGUAGAGUAUGUGCUUAGCAUGCACAAGUUCCUGGGUUCAAUCCCCAUUUCCUCCA
rnacentral:tRNA from 1 species